GCGGACCGAUGGGAGCUUGCUCCCUGAAGUCAGCGGCGGACGGGUGAGUAACACGUGGGCAACCUGCCUGUAAGACUGGGAUAACUCCGGGAAACCGGGGCUAAUACCGGAUAAUUCUUUCCCUCACAUGAGGGAAAGCUGAAAGAUGGUUUCGGCUAUCACUUACAGAUGGGCCCGCGGCGCAUUAGCUAGUUGGUGAGGUAACGGCUCACCAAGGCAGCGAUGCGUAGCCGACCUGAUAGGGUGAUCGGCCACACUGGGACUGAGACACGGCCCAGACUCCUACGGGAGGCAGCAGUAGGGAAUCUUCCGCAAUGGACGAAAGUCUGACGGAGCAACGCCGCGUGAGUGAUGAAGGUUUUCGGAUCGUAAAACUCUGUUGUUAGGGAAGAACAAGUACCGGAGUAACUGCCGGUACCUUGACGGUACCUAACCAGAAAGCCACGGCUAACUACGUGCCAGCAGCCGCGGUAAUACGUAGGUGGCAAGCGUUGUCCGGAAUUAUUGGGCGUAAAGCGCGCGCAGGCGGUUCCUUAAGUCUGAUGUGAAAGCCCCCGGCUCAACCGGGGAGGGUCAUUGGAAACUGGGGAACUUGAGUGCAGAAGAGAAGAGUGGAAUUCCACGUGUAGCGGUGAAAUGCGUAGAGAUGUGGAGGAACACCAGUGGCGAAGGCGACUCUUUGGUCUGUAACUGACGCUGAGGCGCGAAAGCGUGGGGAGCAAACAG
rnacentral:rRNA from 1 species